UUCAAAAUGAAAGUCAGUAAAGCAAAAGAAAGAUGUCAGGAAAGAAAAAACAGUAUUCAAAGGAGUAGUUAAACAAGGCAGUUGAGGAAGUAAAGGCAGGAGCAAGUUAAAGAGAAACAAAAAAAUUGUCAUUCCCCACAUCACUCUACAGGACUAUAUAUAUAUAUAUAUAUAUAUAUAUAAAAAUGUCCACAACCAUCAUCCUAAUUUGGCCCUGACACCUGGAGAGGAAGAGGUUUUCCUUUCCUUUAUAUUCUGGAUGUCAGACCAUGGCUUCCCAGUAACCAGAUCCCUUGUCAAAGCUCUGGCUGUUGGGAUCAUUAAAAAGAGUGGCAGAACCGAGACCACCACUGUAAACCUGGAGAAGGGGCCAAGUGAUGUGUGGUGGUCCAGGUUUAAGGCCUGCCAUCCAGAAUUGGCCUUAAGGACGGUAGAUUCCCUGGACAGAGCCAGAGUCCAUGGUGCUACACCAAAGGCCAUUGAGGCAUUCUUCAAAUUGUACAAGGCCCUUUAUGUGAAGCACAAACUGGAGAACAAGUCACAUCUCAUUUAUAAGUGUGAUGAGACCAGGGAGAAGGUCCUGUGCCAGACUGGAAGAAAACAUGUCUAUCAACAGCAGUGGAUGACCAGGGAGCACAUCACGGUCCACUGCUGUGUGAAUGCAGCCGGGGACAGCAUUCCACCCUUCAAGGCUGGCAUUUUUCCUCUGUCCAGGGCUGCUGUGGACACAAACCAGGUAAUGUUCACAUCAAUACAAUGAUAAUUCAUCCUUUAAGCUACUUCUAUUUCUUUUCAAAUGUGUUAAUGAGUUUUACAUAAGUUUUAUUUUUCUUAGAGACUGAAGAUGGAGAACACUGUGCUCUCUGUCGUAGAGUGGUCCCACCUGGCUCCGGAGAUGAGGCCAUUGAUGAAUGGGUCCAGUGUAAAUUGUGGCUUUGCCAUAAAUGUUGUCCGUCCACAUAAAAACACACGUUACACACACACACACACACACACAAUGUAAAUAGUGCACACAGAAAAUGAACGUUAAUUUCUAGUUAUGGUAUUUUUUAAUCAGUUUAGUGUUAAAUGUAAAUAGUUGUAAACACACACGCAUCCUGAUCAUUUAUGUUUUGAAGUUUUUUUCACAUUGGUUAAUCAUUAAAUAUUUUGUAUCUUUGUCUUCAGAAAGAUAUGGUAAUGUUAUUCACUAACGUUUCACAUGGUUCAUGCUUAACCCACAUGCCAUAAUCGAUAUCACGACACAAUCAGGCCUAGCUCGCAUGGUCUUCUAGCUUAUUAAAACAGCAAUUAACUUAAAUUUUAAACAAAUAAAAAAAAUUCUCAUCUUUCUUAUUCA
ensembl:lncRNA